rnacentral:lncRNA from 1 species
CGUUAAAAUUGCACGUCUCUUUACCCAAUAACUGGCGUGCGAUGUGAACAGGUUCUCACUCAAAAUUUUGAUAUAUCACAUUUACAAAUUUAAACGGUUCAACUAGAAGAUGUCUACUGAAUUUCUCACCGGCGAGCAUGUCAAAAGCUCAGAGCAACAAUCCAACAACUGGUCUGUCCAUCAGUUCAACAAUUGAGCAAGAAGUUCCCAACUCCCUGAACUACAAACCCCAAGCACAUUGGUCGGUAAACCACCAAGCCCAGGUGCGUUCAGAAGCCAGGGCACAGGUCAACA